AACGAACGCUGGCGGCAUGCCUAACACAUGCAAGUCGAACGAGACCUUCGGGUCUAGUGGCGCACGGGUGCGUAACGCGUGGGAACCUGCCCUUAGGUUCGGAAUAACUCCCCGAAAGGGGUGCUAAUACCGGAUAAUGUCUUCGGAUCAAAGAUUUAUCGCCUUUGGAUGGGCCCGCGUUGGAUUAGCUAGUUGGUAGGGUAAAAGCCUACCAAGGCGACGAUCCAUAGCUGGUCUGAGAGGAUGAUCAGCCACACUGGGACUGAGACACGGCCCAGACUCAUACGGGAGGAGGAGGGGGGGAAUAGUGAAAAAGGGGAGAAGGCUUGAGCAAGAAAGGCCGGGGGAGAAAUAAAGGCGUUGGGGUUGAAAAGCUUUUUUCCCCGGGAGAAAAAUGACAGUCCCGGGAGAAUAAGCCCGGGAAAACCCCGUG
rnacentral:rRNA from 1 species